AUCGUGAGGUACAGGCGAGAAGAAGGGAUAGCGAAAUCGUAGCCUGACGAAUCAGGAAGCGGGUACGAAGGCGUAACAGGCGGAUAAGCUGGCAAAAGGCAGUGAAGUCCCAAAGGCAACCGUAACCCUGUUGUGUAAACCCGACAGGUAGACGAGGAAAGAGU
rnacentral:ncRNA from 1 species